CCCUUAGAUGUUCUGGGCCGCACGCGCGCUACACUGAUGCAUUCAACGAGUCUAAAACCUGCUCUGAUAGGGGUGGGUAAUCUUUUGAAUGUGCAUCGUGAUUGGGAUAGAUGAUUGCAAUUUUUCAUCUUCAACGAGGAAUGCCUAGUAAACGCAAGUCAUCAGCUUGCAUUGAUUACGUCCCUGCCCUUUGUACACACCGCCCGUCGCUCCUACCGAUUGAAUGAUCCGAUGAAUAUCAUGGAUUGAGGAUGCAAGUAGGUUCGCCUAUCUUCAUCUUCGAGAAGUGAAGUAAAUCUUAUCAUUAGAGGAAGGAGAAGUCGUAACA
rnacentral:rRNA from 1 species